GAUAAGUUAGACUGGCUAUACAAGCCAGUACUCUUAUCUGUAAUUGGAUCCGUCUCGCAUCCUUUGGGUACAGAGUAUACAGCUUGUUACGCAAAUCUGAGUUUGGUCAGUUCUGCAAAAAUGUACUGGAAUGGACAAAUGGAGCUAUCUCAUGGUUCACUGAUGGCAUUUGUGGAGCCUCAUAGUAUGAGAAGGAUGAUCUCCAACUUCUCUUCCAUUCAAAUGUUUGAUGUAGAUUCUAUCAAAGAUGGAGAUAAAGUAGCUCUUCAAUCACUUCAAUAGCUCAGAGUAUGCAGGUUGUGAAAGUUUAAAUUGGAUGCCUUGAAUCCAAAAUCUAGUGAAGAUGGAAGAGAAGCAUUCCCUUAACUCAAAAUUUGGUGAACGUAUUUCCCUUCACUUAAGUGCCGUAUCACUCAAGCAUUCCCUACAGGCAGCUCCAGCAUGGGUUGACAUGAAAUCAGUAUUGCGCAAAUGACAGCUAACACGGGAUAAGGCAAAGCUCUCU